ACUAAGGUGAUGAAUUGGGAGCAUGAAGUUUUUAUUUUCCUGGCUGGAAUGUAAUCAUCUUUAUGUUGUCUCACAACACGGACUACUCUAAAGUCCUUCCAGCAUUUUUGGAGAAACAUUCAAACUAUGGAGUAUGAAGGACGACAACUAAGAAUUUCAGAUAAUCAUAAUUAGGCUUCAACUUAAGGUUGAUUCAAACUAGAAUUACCACUCAAUCUUACCAAGGCCGUUUAAUUGUAUGCGAUUUGAGUAUUAAAUGCAUAAGACAGUAAACUAAACCCGGUGUAUGUACGUAAAAUAGCUAGCAAAAUAAAAUGUUCAGCUAAUUCAGCACAGCUGGGGAAGGUUGAGGCAGA